ACCCGCUGAACUUAAGCAUAUCAAUAAGCGGAGGAAAAGAAACCAACAGGGAUUGCCCUAGUAACGGCGAGUGAAGCGGCAACAGCUCAAAUUUGAAAUCUGGCUCUCUUUGAGGGUCCGAGUUGUAAUUUGCAGAGGAUGCUUUGGCAUUGGCGGCGGUCUAAGUUCCUUGGAACAGGACAUCGCAGAGGGUGAGAAUCCCGUACGUGGGCGCCUGCCUUUGCCGUGUAAAGCUCCUUCGACGAGUCGAGUUGUUUGGGAAUGCAGCUCUAAAUGGGAGGUAAAUUUCUUCUAAAGCUAAAUACCGGCCAGAGACCGAUAGCGCACAAGUAGAGUGAUCGAAAGAUGAAAAGUACUUUGGAAAGAGAGUCAAAAAGCACGUGAAAUUGUUGAAAGGGAAGCGCUUGCAGCCAGACUUGCCCGCAGUUGCUCACCUAGGCUUUGGCCUGGGGCACUCUUCUGCGGGCAGGCCAGCAUCAGUUUGGGCGGUUGGAUAAAGGCCUCUGUCACGUAUCUCCCUUCGGGGUGACCUUAUAGGGGAGGCGCAAUGCAACCAGCCCGGACUGAGGUCCGCGCAUCUGCUAGGAUGCUGGCGUAAUGGCUGUAAGCGGCCCGUCUUGAAACACGGACCAAGGAGUCUAACAUCUAUGCGAGUGUUUGGGUGUCAAGCCCGGGCGCGCAAUGAAAGUGAACGGAGGUGGGAACCCUUUGGGUGCACCAUCGACCGAUCCUGAUGUCUUCGGAUGGAUUUGAGUAAGAGCAUAGCUGUUGGGACCCGAAAGAUGGUGAACUAUGCUUGAAUAGGGUGAAGCCAGAGGAAACUCUGGUGGAGGCUCGCAGCGGUUCUGACGUGCAAAUCGAUCGUCAAA
rnacentral:rRNA from 1 species